CCUCUCACGUAUCAUAUACUCCUUCCCCAUUGGGCCAACCAGGUACUGUGUGAAGGGCAGAUGGCUGAGAUCCGCCAGACUGACGAAGUCUCCACCUAGGUAUUUGCUCUUUGACAGCCUCUCCUCGUAAAUAUCCAACACCUUUCCCAGCUUCUCUUCACUCUCCUUUAUCAGUUUUUCAUCAGCAGGGAAACCAAGAACUGGAGCAAACAUUAUGUGAAGUGUCAUGUUGAAAAUUGGCGGGUUGAACCAGCUUGCCUCCACGUCCAGCCAGUUCUCCACCACUGC
rnacentral:lncRNA from 1 species